rnacentral:rRNA from 1 species
ACAGGAUUAGAUACCCUGGUAGUCCACGCCGUAAACGAUGUCGACUUGGAGGCUGUUCCCUUGAGGAGUGGCUUCCGGAGCUAACGCGUUAAGUCGACCGCCUGGGGAGUACGGCCGCAAGGUUAAAACUCAAAUGAAUUGACGGGGGCCCGCACAAGCGGUGGAGCAUGUGGUUUAAUUCGAUGCAACGCGAAGAACCUUACCUACUCUUGACAUCCAGAGAACUUUCCAGAGAUGGAUUGGUGCCUUCGGGAACUCUGAGACAGGUGCUGCAUGGCUGUCGUCAGCUCGUGUUGUGAAAUGUUGGGUUAAGUCCCGCAACGAGCGCAACCCUUAUCCUUUGUUGCCAGCGAUUCGGUCGGGAACUCAAAGGAGACUGCCGGUGAUAAACCGGAGGAAGGUGGGGAUGACGUCAAGUCAUCAUGGCCCUUACGGCCAGGGCUACACACGUGCUACAAUGGCGCAUACAAAGAGAAGCGACCUCGCGAGAGCAAGCGGACCUCAUAAAGUGCGUCGUAGUCCGGAUCGGAGUCUGCAACUCGACUCCGUGAAGUCGGAAUCGCUAGUAAUCGUGGAUCAGAAUGCCACGGUGAAUACGUUCCCGGGCCUUGUACACACCGCCCGUCACACCAUGGGAGUGGGUUGCAAAAGAAGUAGGUAGCUUAACCUUCGGGAGGGCGCUUACCACUUUGUGAUUCAUGACUGGGGUGAAGUCGUAACAAGGUAGC